GCAUACAGAGGGACCAGGCUGUGACCAGCUCUGACAAACCCUCAAGGGCUGGUGCUGGUGGGGACACAACGUACCGGUGAAUUCUCCCCCCUCCCCACCGCUCCUCCCUCCCAGGACCUGGGUGGCCUCAGUGUCCCAAGGGCCUGUGACCCACCUGACCGCAGAGGGGCUGGUGCUCGUGUCCCGCUGGGCCCCCCCUUGGGGUCAGGUUCAGCCUGGGGUUGGGAUCGGGGUGUUUUGGAGUCCAAGUGAGAGGUUAGUCUGGGCUGAGGCUCAAGGCUGGUGUCAGACGGGACAACGCAGCGUGUGCUGGGGGCGGCUCCUUGUGCGGAGCUGGUGGGGACAGGCCCGUGUGGAAGGCGGCCCCUGCCCCCUCCCUCUUGUAUCUGUGCCCCUGACUGCAGCCCACACCAGCUGGUCUCUGACCCUGAAGGCUCACAGAGCAGGACGAGGGCUGCUCCAUCACUUGCCGGGUGGGACGUGGCCCGGGGGGUGGGUGGCCUUAGCCAGGACAGCGUUCCCUGCCCUGCAGUGGCUAAUCGUGGCGCUCCGUCAUCAUGUCCCUGAGGAGGAGCCUGGACCUGCGUGGGUGUGGCUUUACUACUGGGGGCUCAGACUUGGGGCCGCACGAGGGCGCAGGCAUCCACGCAGGACGCAAAUGCCCCCCAGCUCCUGCCCUGUCUCCAGCAGGGCCCCCAAGCUGCCCCUAGGAGCUGUGCGCAUGGGCGGCAGGUCCCAGGCGCGGGUGGCGCUUGGCCCUGGGUUCCUCUCCCGCUCGCUCAGCUCAGCCCCCGAGUCUGGCCUCGUCCUGUCAAAGCCGCAGACACAAAAGAGAACCGGAUUGACGUCAGGAGGGCGCCCACGGAGCCUCUGUCUCUCCCAGAAGUUUGGCUCUGGUGUCCCACACCGGAUGUCUGUGGUUUUUAAAAGCUCCUGGCCCCUGGCCCUCCUGUCCUCCUUUUCUGCUGACCGAGGCUCCUGGGUUGCCCUGGGUUUGCCUGGCUCAUGGAUCUCACCCUUCUGCUGGAGCCUCAGGCCCUGCCUUGCUCCCUUCUGUGGCCCCCACACCCAUCCCAGGGCCUGGCACAUAGUAAGUGCUCAGUAAACCUCCCUGGGUCAGGGUGGAUGGAUUUCUCCAACUU
rnacentral:lncRNA from 1 species